rnacentral:rRNA from 1 species
UAGGGAAUCUUGCGCAAUGGGCGAAAGCCUGACGCAGCCAUGCCGCGUGAAUGAUGAAGGUCUUAGGAUUGUAAAAUUCUUUCACCGGGGAAGAUAAUGACGGUACCCGGAGAAGAAGCCCCGGCUAACUUCGUGCCAGCAGCCGCGGUAAUACGAAGGGGGCUAGCGUUGCUCGGAAUUACUGGGCGUAAAGGGCGCGUAGGCGGAUAUUUAAGUUGGGGGUGAAAGCCCGGGGCUCAACCUCGGAAUAGCCUUCAAUACUGGAUAUCUUGAGUUCGGGAGAGGUGAGUGGAAUGCCGAGUGUAGAGGUGAAAUUCGUAGAUAUUCGGCGGAACACCAGUGGCGAAGGCGACUCACUGGCCCGAUACUGACGCUGAGGCGCGAAAGCGUGGGGAGCAAACAGGAUUAGAUACCCUGGUAGUCCACGCCGUAAACGAUGAGUGCUAGUUGUCGGCAUGCAUGCAUGUCGGUGACGCAGCUAACGCAUUAAGCACUCCGCCUGGGGAGUACGGUCGCAAGAUUAAAAACUCAAAGGAAAUUGACGGGGGUCAUAGCUGUUUCCUG